rnacentral:rRNA from 1 species
GGAAGGAUCAUUAUUGAUUGCGAAUCGUUGCCUUCUGUGCUGGCCAGCUCUGGCAAGUGCACGUCGGUGACUUUCAUCCAAUACCCUGUGAACCUUUGGCCUCUGCUAGCUUCGGCCGGCAGGGGAAUUUACACACACUCGAAUGUAAUGAAAUUUAUUGUCGUGCGCAAGCACUAAUGUACAACUUUCAACAACGGAUCUCUUGGCUCUCGCAUCGAUGAAGAACGCAGCGAAAUGCGAUAAGUAAUGUGAAUUGCAGAAUUCAGUGAAUCAUCGAAUCUUUGAACGCACCUUGCACCCUUUGGCAUUCCGAAGGGUAUGCUCGUUUGAGUGUCAUUGUACUCUCACACUCCCGGUCUUUGGAUUGGGAGGUGGACUUGGGUGUUGCUGCUUACCGUGGCUCACCUCAAAUGGAUUCGUGCAACUCUUGGUUGGACAUAGUACGGCGUAAUAAGUGUUUCGCCGGCACCUCACUAGAGGGUGGCUGAUCGGGAGCUCUGUGCUUCAAACCGUCUUCGGACAAUGACUGACAACUUGACCUCAAAUCGAGUAGGACCACCCGCUGAACUUAAGCAUAUCAAUAAGCGGAGGAAAAGAAACUAACAAGGAUUCCCCUAGUAACGGCGAGUGAAGAGGGAAGAGCUCAAAUUUUGAAUCUGGCGUCUUUGGCGUCCGAAUUGUAAUCUAGAGAAGUGUUUUCCGUGACGGACCGUGCAUAAGUCUCCUGGAAUGGAGUGUCAUAGAGGGUGAGAAUCCCGUAUAUGGCACGGACUCCCGUUGCUCUGUGAUACACUCUCGACGAGUCGAGUUGUUUGGGAAUGCAGCUCUAAAUGGGUGGUAAAUGCCAUCUAAAGCUAAAUAUUGGCGAGAGACCGAUAGCGAA